CUUUGGAGCAAAGACUUGAAGAAAGUCAGGGAACAAGCUGUGUGGACAUUUGAAGACAAGCAUUGCCUACAGCCAGAGGAACACUCACAAAAUCCUCAAAACCCGAGUCACCCCUCAAGUUAAACAAGAAAAGAGCAAAUUGACAAGAUUCAUCUAUGUCUGCUUUGGGACCAAGGUCGAAGGAAAAUAUGUUCUUCUUGAAUAUCUACAGUAACCCUCAGGAAAAUCAGCCCUGAGCUAACAUCCAUGCCAAUCCUCCUCUUUUUACUGAGGAGGACUGGUCCUGAGCUAACAUCCGUGCCCAUCUUCCUCCACUUUAUAUGGGAUGCUGCCACAGCAUGGCCUGACAAGUGGUGCGUAGGUGUGCGCCCAGGAUCAGAACUGGAGAACCCUGGGGCGCUGUAGCGGAGUGCACGAACUUAACCCCUAUGCCACCAGGCCAGCGCCAAACAUUUUAAGACAUAAUUUCAUUUCUUAAAGUAUGUACUCUUUGUUAUUUCUGGCAAAUAAAGUUCAUCUAAAAUGUC